rnacentral:lncRNA from 1 species
CUUAUAUGUGGGGCAUAUCACGUGAUAACAGUGCUCAUGUGACUUUAAUUUUCCUGUCAUCACGUGAUGUAACUAAUACUUUCCCCUUUGGAACAUAUUACUCGCACGUUUAUAAAUCAUGUGGCUAAUUGAUCCGGAGGCUGAAGUGUAGAUCGGUUAAAACUCCCCAACCUGCGCAACCUCGACAAACGACCUGAAGAGUUACGCAUACACCGUUUUGGACGCUACAUGUUUUGAAUAAUGACUUUUGUGUACGUUUCUUUUAUCUUUUAGGCAUAUUUUAUAUAAGAAUAUGAUCGCACGGCAAUGUUUCUUACCCAUCUAUCGCUGAAGAAGAAUCCACAGACAAAGUCAGAACAGUGGCGUAUUUGGCAAUGAUAAGUGCCAAUCGGAAACCAAGUUCAUUCACAGACGCAUCUGGAGUUAUUCUUUCGUACUCCUCAUUUAGCGCCUUAUUUAAUAACAAGUGGAAUGGAAACGAACAUUUAUCGUGAAAUAAACAAUACGUAACCCUUCAUGGGCAGUAAACAAAAAACAAUAAAACCGCAUGCCCCACACUUUGCAUUUGCGUGUAUCGACGGUGAGAAUGAAAGGUUUAACAUAAAAAUUUGCGCUUCCUUUAAGUCUUACCUAUGUACUUAUCCCAAAUUUUAUAGAAUAGUAAAUGGACAAACAGAAUGGCAUUGUGUAUUGACUUCCGACAUUAUAUUUUUUUUUUUUGGUUGAUAAAUGAGCUUUGUUUCAGGUUAAUGCAUU